rnacentral:lncRNA from 1 species
UUACAUCAACAUUACAUAAUAGAUGGGGAUACAUACAUAAGGCAUACAAUGCCACACGAAUACAACAUUACAAUACAUAAGAGCAUCAUCCGUCUACAGAUGAAUCACAAACAGAAACUCAAACGACAUCCACCCUGCUAGCCCAGGCUGCCGACCUGGAACCUAUCCCCUGAUUGAAGAAGCAGAAGAAGAACUCAAUGCAAGCAAGCAUCGCUCUCGCGUCAUGAUCAUCGCAUAAACCUGUACCUGCAACUGUUGUUGUAGUAAUCUGUGAGCCACGAGGACUCAGCAAUCCCAUUACCAUGGGUAUCAAGACUAGCAAAGCUUAAAGGGAAAGGAAGGGGUAAAGUGGUGAGGCUGCAGCAGCGACUAAGCAUAUAUGGUGGCUACCAUACGCAAAUAAGAGCGAGAAGAGAGCAAGGAGAACGGUCGUCAACUAAUAAUGAUCAAGAAGUGAUCCUGAACUCCUACUUACGUCAAACAUAACCCAGAAACCGUGUUCACUUCCUGGACUCCGCCGAAAAGAGACCAUCACGGCUACACACGCGGUUGAUGCGUUUUAAUUCGGAUCUGGUGUCAAGUUAUCUACAACCGGACAUUAACAAAUUCCCAUCUGCCUAUAACCGCAGGCACGGCUUUCGAAAGAUUAUACCCUGUAGGGGUGUCCCAACUUAGCCCAUGACAAGCUCUCGCGAUCAACGAAGGAAUAGACCUUCUCCCAGGAAGACCCGAUCAGACUCAGAAUCCCGGUUUACAAGACAUUUCGACAAUGGUAAAACAAGACCAGCAAAGCCUCCCGCUGUGCCGACAAAUCCCGAUAGGAGCUGCACAUAUCUCAUUCUCAGGGCACACCGGAUUGUCCAGACUUCCGGUAGGCCAGCCCAGAGUUGCCCCUGGUGGCCACCGGCGGCCGACAGUUUGGACNNNNNNNNNNNNNNNNNNNNNNNNNNNNNNNNNNNNNNNNNNNNNNNNNNNNNNNNNNNNNNNNNNNNNNNNNNNNNNNNNNNNNNNNNNNNNNNNNNNNNNNNNNNNNNNNNNNNNNNNNNNNNNNNNNNNNNNNNNNNNNNNNNNNNNNNNNNNNNNNNNNNNNNNNNNNNNNNNNNNNNNNNNNNNNNNNNNNNNNNNNNNNNNNNNNNNNNNNNNNNNNNNNNNNNNNNNNNNNNNNNNNNNNNNNNNNNNNNNNNNNNNNNNNNNNNNNNNNNNNNNNNNNNNNNNNNNNUCGGGCUCCGGAAACCAAGGGAAAAAGGGCUAGGUGAGGCAAAUGGUAAAACCAAGGUUGGGCCUUGCUGGAGGAGUUUUAUUCAAAGAAAACUGUCAAGGGGGUCCCAUAAAUCACCCGACCGCGUAAGGAACGCAAAAUCCGGGAACAUAACACCGGUAUGACAGAAACUAGAGUGGCAAGAGUGGAACAAAACACUAGGCAAAAGGCCGAGUCUUCCACCCUUUACCAAGUAUAUAGAUGCAUUAAUAAUAUAAGAGAUAUUGUGAUAUCCCAACCAAAAUCAUGUCCACCAUGGAGAAAUCUUCAACUUCACCUGCAACUACCAACGCUAUAAGAGGGCUGAGCAAAGCGGUAACAUAGCCAAUCAAUGGUUUGCAUAGGUAAGGUGUCAAAGGUUAGAGGUUCAUGGCAACAAGGGAUGGCUCGAUAAACAGAUGAUAGGUAGCACAACAAAGCGAUAGAACGAAGCAACUAGCAUAGCAAUGAUAGUAGUGAGAUCCAGGGUAGCGGUCAUCUUGCCUGAAAUCCCGCAAGGAAGAAGUACGAGUCCAUGAAGAAGACGAACGGGAGCAGUCGAUGAAUCCUCACAAUCGCAACAUUACCGGAACUAAGAAGCAACACCGAAAAGAAACAAACAACAUGGUAAACACACAAGCAUAAACAUGGCAUGAUGCACAAACAAGUAUGAUGCAUGUCCGGUUUAAUGAGGCAUGGCAUGGCAAGUGCAACAAACAAUACUACAAGUUAAGUGGAGCUCAAUAUGCAACGAGUUGCAUAUUGACGAAACACCACAUCAAUUAUUUAGUUGAUCUCGUUUAAGCUACCAAACAAUAUUAAAUGUUGUUAAACAUGGCAAGAGGUAAAGCAUAAUGAAACUACCUAUCUAGGCAAGUUUGAAUGAGGCCGGAAAUAACAAACAACAACUCCGGAAAAUCCCCAUAUGCAAAUUAUGGAUUUGGUACUGUUCUGCUCUAAACACAAUUUUAUUGUUUUUAAACAGGAAAAUAAAGUGGACUAUGUUAAUCUAGGUAUUUUUCCACCCCAAAUACAUAUAAAGUUUAUUAAAUUCCGAGCUACGGUUAUUUAGUUAUGAAAUAAAGCAUUUUAGCAUGGCAUUUAAGCAAAUUAACACAAACAGCAUUUUAAACAUGGAUGAAAAUGGCAUAUUAUUAAUCUACACGGUUUUCUGAGCAUUUUACAUAUAAAGUUUGUUUAAAUCCGAUGCACGGUUAAUUAGUUAUUACAUGCAUGAACAUGAGGGGGUUUUCUGUAAAACAGUAAAACCUGGGAUAAUUGCUAAAAUCGCAGCAGCAGAAAAAAACAUGACACUGGCCGAAUCCACUGGCCCAACAUGCACAGGACAGAGGGGCUCCCAGGAGGCUCACCACUAGGCCGAGCCCAGGUCGGUGGAGAGGCAAGGCAGGCCGGCUGGCUGGGCUGCGCGUGGAGAUGGACCGAGGCGAGGCGUGCUGGGCCUUGGCGCUGGCGGGUUUGGGGGAGCUGGGUCGGUGGAAGGAGGCAGGCCGACGCAGCGGCUCGAGUCAACGCGGGCGAGCAGAGGCGAUGGCUGCGCGCGUCUUCUCCUGCUCGAUGCAGGAGCAGGGGAGGCCGGCGAUGACGCGAAGACCGGCGAGGGCUCCGGCGAGGUGGCCUUGGUAGGGACCUGCCAGAACGGGACUGGGACGGCGGGAUCCAGCAGAUCUGGGCGCGGAGAUGGAGCUCCAGCAGCGCGAGGGAAUGAUGUGCAAGUAGGCGAGGGGCGGCGAGCUCGACCAGAUCUAGCGCUCGGUCGUUGGUCUUGGCUUGGAGGUGCUCACGACGGAACGGAGGUCGGCGGCGCUUGGCGUCAGGAGGUGCGGCGGAAGGCCAGGAACAGGUGAGCGAAAGCUCGAUGCAGGGGAACUGGGCGCUGCGCUUCGGUUGUUCGUCUCCCUCGCAGAUGAGGACGAUGGCAGGAGGUCGCGAGGGACUGCGGCUGCGAACGUCGGUGCUCCGGAGCUUGUCGGUGGCGGCGGAACGACGAUGGGGCCGAGAAGAGGGAGCAUACAGGAGGGGCUCCAGAAGAAACUCCCCUUCGGGAGAGCGAGGAUGAUUUCCUCUCCUUGGAUCGUGUGCGCUAGGCAGAACAGGAGGGGAUCGAGCGCUGCUCAUGGUUGGUUGGAUUUUGGUGGGGAUUGGCAGGCGCUGAAAAUUAGGAGGGAGGGGACUGGCUGCGGGUGGAAUUGGAUCGGGAGGAUCCCGAGGUGGAAGAGGACUGGCGGCGGCGGCUGGGGGAUGGGACAAGGCUCCUAAUUUUUAGGGUAGGGUUGGUCUAUAUAUAGGAACAAUAGGAUUAGGUUUGGACCCUCCAAUCAAAAUCGGACGGUUCUGGAUAAAUAGGUUAGGGGGCCCAAUUAAGAAAACGGAGAUGUUAAAUAGAUGUUAGGGGAUGAGCCGGACCCAACGGUAACGACUGCUCGGGUCGGGUUCGGGGGAGUUUCGGACACGCACGUGAGGGGUUCGAUGCACUGUGCAGAGAGGGUUUCGGACCGUGCGGUCGUAUCGGACAACUCCGGAAGCGAAGAGGGGAAGGAGGAUGGACUAGGUGGGCUGUGGUGAGACUGCGAGGGGGAGAAGAGAGAGGAAGGGCCCGGCAUCUGUUUCCGGAGACCGAAAACGUCCGACGAAGGUACUGGCAAUGGUGCCGCUACGGAUGAGGGUUGGGCUAUCAAAUGGACUCCGAAUGCGAUGAAACUUGGCAGACGGCCUGUCUACACUAUAAUAAGACCGCACGACAAGUUGCAUCCCAUUCCGAGAACAUUUUUAUGCCACUUAUAAAAUAAUAUUGCGGAGGUGCCACGGGCGCGUGCGAGUGUGUCUGGGCUCGGAACGGACAACGAAGAGAACCGGCGGAACCAGAACGGAUGCAAGUUUUAUGAAAACGAUGUCGAUGCAAUGCACAUGAUGCCAUGAGAUGAGAUGCAUAACAAGAAUAAAAUGCAAAACAACAGACAAAAACCCAACCACGGGGGAAAUAACAUAUCGCAUCUCUGGAAAAGGCAAGAGUUGGAGUUACGAAUAUGGAAAGUUGUAUCCGGGGCGUUACAACACUCCACCACUACGAGAGGAUCUCGUCCCGAGAUCUAGGAUGGCACUGGAGGGAAAAGGAAGAGGAAGAUAAGCGGUAAAACUAAGUUGCUUCUUCGACCAAUGAGUGAAACCAAAGAACCUUGAGAGGUUGAGAAUUAUGAAAGAAAAAAAAACAACGAAGAUGAAGAAGAUUGCAAACAAUCUUUUAGAAAAAAGGAACAAGGAACAUUACGAGAACUUGAAGGUUGCAAAGACAUGAAUGACGAGCAAAAUGGACAAGAAGGAAUUGAAACCACUCUGGUUGAAAAGAGAGGCAAAACUUGAGAAGAUGAAAGAACUUGAAGGGAUGACACAACACUCUGGUUAAAUGGAGAAGCAAGGAGAAGAAAAUGCCAACUUCUACCACAAUGAGCUUGGAAAGCAUCCUUGCAAAGAAGAAUUGAACGGAGUUGUUGGAAAAUCAACAACAAAAAGCACAAGCUUGUUGUUGGCUUAUGGUAAACAACUCAAAAUGAUGAGGUGACAACCGGCAACUAAAGGAAACAAUUGCUUGCUUGAGAACAACGAAGAGAUGAAAAACCUCUUUCACAGAGAAGGAUAUGGAGAAAACUUGGAUCAUUGAUAAACACCACAAUAGCAACAUUCCUUAGGGAAGGCUUUAGGUGAAAUCUAUACCCAAGAUAACUCCAACAAAAGAUUGAUGGAUUUAAAAUACCUCAUUCUUGACAACAUGUGAAUCAUGAAACAUGAAGGAAAUUGUCAAGAGUGAUAUAACACCACCACAAAAGAUAAGGUAGAAAUAAUUGCACUUCAGAAUGCAAGAUGAAGAAUACUUGAACUCCUCUGAAAAUAAUCUCGAUGAACACUUUGAGAAGAAAUUAAAUCCUUGAUGAACCAUCAUGUAGAGCCUCCAUGAAGAACUCUGGUAAUGAAAGGAUGAUAGAAAGAAAGAGAAGUUGAAAACACAAGGUGAAGCCUUGCGAUGAUUUAGAUGGAGCUUUGCGAUGAUAUAACCCAGAGAACUUGGAACUCCAGAAAGAAAGAUGAACAAAUGAGAUCAACAUUUUGAUGAACCUCCGGAAUAAGGAAUUAAUCACUUGGAUGAAACAAGAAUAAGAAUUACAUUAUGCCUAUCCUUCACCAAUUUAAAUUGAUGACAAGCAACGGAUUUGGCAUACUACUUAUUCCCAUUGAAAAAAAAGGAUUAAGAGAGAUAUAGCGUAAAUUUGAGAAAGUAUUGAUGGAACCACCGGUGGGAUUUGUAAACAACGGAUGAAUUGAUAUGAUAACAAAGGAAGAGAAAUCUUGAACGAACCACCGUAAGAAUUGAAAAUGAACGAAGAAAGGGGCUGAAUCAUCGAGAAGAAUUAGAAGAACAAAUCUGCUUGAGGGGAUUUAGAUGCAAAAGAACGAAGAGACAACGAGCUGAUAAAAGAACACUUGAACGGAGCACCGGGAUAAUUGGAUAACGGUAGCUGAAAUGUGAGGACGAAGAAUUCUUCUGGAACGAUAGCCUCCGGUGAAAAGAAACGGAAAGACAACUUCUGACAAACUCCGGAUGGUUAAGAAAGAAUAUCUGACAAACUGAAAUGAUUCGAGAGGAUGGCAUGAAGCUAGAAUCACGAAUAUUCAAGAGAACGGACAAGAUUUAAGAGAUUCUCUUCUUCGGUCUUCAAAUGUUGAGAAUGAUGAUGAGAACCACCAUGAAUUGUUGAGAUACUCCGGGAGAAUGAAAAGCGAAGGGGGUUGAGCCAACGAUGAAGAGAAUUUGAAAGCAAUCUUGGAGAAGGCAUGUGACUGAUGGAAUCCAUUCUUACGUCACACCUUGAAAAGAAUUGGGAAUAACUCCGAGGGAAUUAGAAGAGUCAGGUAAGAUCCAGGGAAAAGACCUGUGGGUUAGGGCCCACUAAAAAGAAAACACCAUUGAAUGAUUUAAAAGAGAGAUUGCACCGGUUGAAUUAAAUAGCUUGAAUGAGAUAACAAUCUCCAAAUAGCUUGAACGGAUUAAGAAUGGAAACACAAAUCUUCUGAGAUAUCUUGAGCACUCCAGAACAAAUGAAUAGCAAGAGGUGAGUGAUUGAGAGGUGCACCGGCAUGAGAAAGCAUUUGACACGAGGAAAGGAAUAUGAUCAACACUAAAAGUUUGAAUUAAAACCACCGGAGAGAAUACGAGAAUGAAGAAUGAUGAGCUUGAAACUGUUGAGCAUCUUCACAAGGGAUCACCGGAUCAGAACAUUGAUUGAAAAGAGUGAAGAGACUUCACAUGAAUAAAUGGAAACUUGAUUAAGAAAUCUGAGUCCUUGCAGAAAAAAGGGUGGGAGGGCAGGAAAACAAAGACAACUUGGGGACGGAUGAAACAAACACCGUUGGGAAAACUUAGAAUUGAUCUUGCGGAUGUUGAAAUGAUCGGAUCCACUUGAAGAGAAGCACACCGGUUGGAAAGAAUUGGGAUGACAAUCUCGAUGAUCAAGAAGGAUUACCACUCCCAUAGAAAUAUGAGAACACCGCUUAGGAUAGGUAUGGAAUCAACACUUGACAUUGAAGCAACUCGAAUACCACAACUCAAAACAAAACAAAGGAUUUGGCUUGCAGAAUAAGCCGGAACAAACAUAUGAUAGAGAUUUCGUCUGAAGUUUUCGUGGUGGGGCCCACACGGGCUCGAGUGUACAGCACCAUCAUGUACAAGGCAGUGCACAUGACAUACAAAGUGUCCCUGAACCAGCAUAGCCAAGGGUUCUUUAAGACACAACGAGACCACUGUAAAAACGACCAUGGAAAGGCGGACCACUAGACGUCGAACCCCAAUCUCAUAUCAUGCAUCUGUCGAAAAGAUAUUCUAGGAGCUACUUGAAUUCCCACCUAUAAAACUCCCGAAACUUUUUGGUUAUGCAAUCUGGUGUUGGGGAUACAGGGGAAGCAAUAUAUCUCACCCAAACUAACAAUACCUACAUCCAAGCUGUAUCCAUCCGUCAACACAUAACCAAGAAACCUUCGGAAAUUGUGUACCUCAACCUUCGAAAAGCAUUCGUUAUACGAGUUAUGGCAAUACUCCCGAGCUCGCCCCAGUACUGGGUUAUCGGGGUUAUCUCACCAACAACUGCAUAAAAGAGAUUUUCGAUGUCGGCAAAUCUCAGGUAUUCCAGAACUGCAACGAUAAAAUUGUGACGACAACACCUCGGAGCUCAACUCCCCGGGUCAAAGCCACAUAAAUAGACAGGAGGCACCAAGAACAAUGUUCUCGUCACAAAACCAUCGAAACGAUUCCAAGAUACCCGCGUGAUCCUAAAAAAAAUUUGAGUGAAAUUUGAGUAGAGGAAAGUCAAAACAUCUACGUCAAGAGUCCUCACCAGAGCGACGAAGGGGGCUGAGGAGUAAAAAGAAUCCUACUCUCCGAUAUAUAUAAUCCUAAGACUCAAAAUAUUUUUCUUCUAGACUCAACAACGGCCAACAAUCAAGGGGGCUCCUAAGGUCAGUCGAGGCUCUGAUUACCAACUUGUCACGCCCAAUAUGCGACCCUAUCCAAAAGGAACUCGAAGGUCCCACCAAGGAUAGACCCGCAUAUUGAAACGCUUUUGCAAGGUGGAUAUCAUUACAUCAACAUUACAUAAUAGAUGGGGAUACAUACAUAAGGCAUACAAUGCCACACGAAUACAACAUUACAAUACAUAAGAGCAUCAUCCGUCUACGGAUGAAUCACAAACAGAAACUCAAACGACAUCCACCCUGCUAGCCCAGGCUGCCGACCUGGAACCUAUCCCCUGAUCGAAGAAGCAGAAGAAGAACUCAACGCAAGCAAGCAUCGCUCUCGCGUCAUGAUCA